rnacentral:rRNA from 1 species
GAUGAACGCUAGCGGCAGGCUUAAUACAUGCAAGUCGUGGGGCAGCAUGAGUAGCAAUACUUGAUGGCGACCGGCAAACGGGUGCGGAACACGUACACAACCUUCCGAUAAGUGGGGAAUAGCCCAGAGAAAUUUGGAUUAAUACCCCGUAACAUAUAGAGUAGGCAUCUUCUUUAUAUUAUAGCUUCGGCGCUUA